CGAAAGCUUAGAUUUAGCAUCAGAUUAGUUAGUUUAAUUAGUACAGGUAGUAUAUUUAAAUCUGGUGUUAGCUGUGAUAAAUAAGUCGUUGAGUUUUAUAUCUGUUUUAGAGGGUUUAUUUUGUUAAACUUGUUUGGUGAAGAGAUCAAGCAAGAGAGUAUAGGCGUCAUGUAUAUCUAAUAAUGUUAGGGUUAAAAUUACCUUUUUAUAAAGAGUAUGUUACAAUUUCGUGUUAUUAUUUUAUGCUUUACUUUUGACCUCUCUAUAAUGUUAAUAUGUUGCGUUUAAGUAUCAUAUAAUAAGUAAUUCUAAUAGUUUCUUUGUUUCUCAUCAACAUCCCGUCUGUUUAUUAAAAACAUUUCCAUAUAAUAUAGUAUAUAUGGUAGGACCUGCUCUAUGUGUUAUAAAUGGCCGCAGUAUCUUGACUGUGCGAAGGUAGCAUAAUUAAUUGCUCUUUAAAUGGGGGCUUGUUUGAAUGGUUUGACGAGGUUGUUUUUAACAUAGAAGCUUUUGUUGAAAUUGAUGGUGUGAAUACAGAAUUUACAUUAUUUAAUUAGACGGAAAGACCCUAGGAUCUUUAUGUAUUUUGCUUGGGGCAAGUAAAAAUAGUUUAUUUGUUUUGUGACCCUUUGUGAGUUUAUAGGUUUAAGUUACCCUAGGGAUAACAGAGUAAUAGUUUAUUAGAGUUCUUAUCGAUUAAACUGUUUGCUACCUCGAUGUUGACUUGGGUUAAUGCUCUGGCGCAGUAGUUAGAGGUUUUGGUCUG
rnacentral:rRNA from 1 species